rnacentral:rRNA from 1 species
UGCCACAGUCAUAUUACCCUGCUGCCCAAGACCGGUUAAUCACUGAAGCUAAACAGGGAUGAGCCUGGCCAGUACCUGGAUGGAAGACCACAUGGGAAAACUACAGUAGGUUGCUGUUGGAA